CGAGAGAGCGUUGCCGCAGGCAACGACCCGAAGGGCGAAGCGCGCAGCGCUAGUAAUCCUUCCCCCACCACCA
rnacentral:sRNA from 1 species